GUAGGUGGCAAGCGUUGUCCGGAAUUAUUGGGCGUAAAGCGCGCGCAGGCGGUUCUUUAAGUCUGAUGUGAAAGCCCACGGCUCAACCGUGGAGGGUCAUUGGAAACUGGAGAACUUGAGUACAGAAGAGGAAAGCGGAAUUCCAUGUGUAGCGGUGAAAUGCGUAGAGAUGUGGAGGAACACCAGUGGCGAAGGCGGCUUUCUGGUCUGUAACUGACGCUGAGGCGCGAAAGCGUGGGGGAGCAAACAGGAUUAGAUACCCUGGUAGUCCACGCCGUAAACGAUGAGUGCUAAGUGUUAGGGGGUUUCCGCCCCUUAGUGCUGCAGCUAACGCAUUAAGCACUCCGCCUGGGAGUACGGCCGCAAGGCUG
rnacentral:rRNA from 1 species